CGGAUCUUAUAAUUUGGGAAUACUGCAUAAGCUCAGUCGAUCUUAGCUGCAGUUUCAGGUCAGUGGAGCAUCAUCUGCAGGCCCCCUCUUCUUCCUCCACAGUAAGAGAGCAAGGUAGGCUUCCAGUUGGAUGCUGGGGCUUGGGCAGUAAACCAAAAACCAAGGUCAAACAGGAGAUUGCUCUACCCCCUCUCCACAACUAUCACUGCAUACAUGAGGCAGGGGUGGGACAGCAGAAAAGUCUCUCUCUAAAAACACAUGCUACUCUGGAGAGGUCCACACAAAGCAGAAAGGCAGUAUGGUUUGUGCAGGUGCUGCUGGAGCCAGGAAGACGCCCACCCACGUGGUGGCAAGGAGUGAGUGGCAGUAAGGCUUAGCUCUCUGGCUGGUGCUAGGUAAUGGGAGCUAUGCCCUUUGGACCGA
rnacentral:lncRNA from 1 species